UGGAAAUGAUGAAAUAGAGGUAACAGGGUGUUGAGUGUAUGUAUCGUGAAUGUAUGAGUGGAACUUGUUAGUAUUAAUGUUAAGUAAUUCUUCUAAGUUUAGAGUUUUAUAGAUACUUCCUAGAGAGUGUGUGUGCCUGUGUGCGUGCUCAUGGCGGCUAGGGCAAAGGGGGCGCUGAGUGUGGUGGUGCUGAUAUUGGAGUGCAUCUGAGGCUGUUGUAGAAAUCACAGGGGUUAUUGAUUACAACAUUGCCAAUGAUUAUGACCCCAAAACAGCUCACCUAACUAGCCUUACACCCUAAAGUCUCUAACAGGUUCAUCAGACAUGAACCUGUAAUCUGAUCCAA
ensembl:snoRNA SCARNA7 small Cajal body-specific RNA 7